rnacentral:rRNA from 1 species
CCUACGGGUGGCUGCAGUGAGGAAUAUUGGUCAAUGGGCGCGAGCCUGAACCAGCCAAGUCGCGUGAGGGAAGACGGCCCUACGGGUUGUAAACCUCUUUUGCCGGGGAGCAACGGGCGCCACGUGUGGCGCCACUGAGAGUACCCGGAGAAAAAGCAUCGGCAAACUCCGUGCCGGCAGCCGCGGUAAUACGGAGGAUGCGAGCGUUCUCCGGAUUUAUUGGGUUUAAAGGGUGCGUAGUCGGAGCGUUAAGGCAGUGGGCAAAUUGCGGGGCUAAACCCCUUCCCGCCAUUGAAACUGGCGCUCUUGAGUGGAAGAGAAGUAUGCGGAAUGCGUGGUGUAGCGGUGAAAUGCAUAGAUAUCACGCAGAACCCCGAUUGCGAAGGCAGCAUGCCGGCUUCCUACUGACGCUGAAGCACGAAAGCGUGGGGAUCGAACAGGAUUAGAUACCCUGGUAGUC